rnacentral:rRNA from 1 species
UCAAAAACAUAGCCUUUAGCCCCACAAGUAUUAAAGGUCCCGCCUGCCCAGUGACUCUUUAAACGGCCGCGGUAUCCUAACCGUGCAAAGGUAGCAUAAUCACUUGUCCCUUAAAUAGGGACUGGAAUGAACGGCUAAAUGAGGAUUAAACUGUCUCUUGCGAGCCGGUCAAUGAAUUUGAUUUUCCAGUUCAAAAGCUGGAAUAAACACAUAAGACGAGAAGACCCUGUGGAGCUUCAAAACCUAGUUCACCAAAUAAUGCUUCCUUCGGUUUUUAGUUGGGGCGACUUCGGAGCACAAAAAAACCUCCAAAACAUGUAAACCCACUAUAUUAAGAUCAACAAACCACAAAACCACAAGAUCCAGCAACAGCCCUUAAUGUUGUCUGACCAAUGAACCAAGUUACCCCAGGGAUAACAGCGCCAUCCCCUUCUAGAGUCCCUAUCGACAAGGGGGUUUACGACCUCGAUGUUGGAUCAGGACACCCCAAUGGUGCAGCCGCCACUAAAGGUUCGUUUGUUCAACGAUUAAAGUCCUA